GAUGAACGCUAGCGGCAGGCCUAAUACAUGCAAGUCGAACGGGAUUAAGGAGCUUGCUUCUUAUGAGAGUGGCGCACGGGUGCGUAACACGUAUGCAACCUACCUUCAACUGGGGGAUAGCCUUCCGAAAGGGAGAUUAAUACCGCAUAACAUACUUGAGUGGCAUCGCUUGAUUAUCAAACGUCAGGGUUGAAGAUGGGCAUGCGUCCGAUUAGUUAGUUGGUGAGGUAACGGCUCACCAAGGCUACGAUCGGUAGGGGAUCUGAGAGGAUGGCCCCCCACACUGGUACUGAGACACGGACCAGACUCCUACGGGAGGCAGCAGUAAGGAAUAUUGGUCAAUGGACGGAAGUUUGAACCAGCCAUGCCGCGUGCAGGAAGACGGUCCUCUGGAUUGUAAACUGCUUUUGUUAGGGAAGAAACUUCCGUACGUGUACGGGACUGACGGUACCUAAAGAAUAAGGAUCGGCUAACUCCGUGCCAGCCGCCGCCGUAACAC
rnacentral:rRNA from 1 species